GACGAACGCUGGCGGCGUGCUUAACACAUGCAAGUCGAGGGGUCGGAGCAAUCCGGCACCGGCGAACGGGUGCGUAACACGUGAGCGACCUGCCUUCUUGCGGGGAUAGCCGGCCCAACGGCCGGGUAAUACCGCAUGGACCGGAGUUCUGGCAUCGGGAGUUCUGGGAAACCUUCGGGGCGAGGAGAGGGGCGUCGCGGCCUAUCAGCUAGUUGGUGCGGUGACGGCGCACCAAGGCGACGACGGGUAGCUGGUCUGAGAGGAUGGCCAGCCACAUUGGGACUGAGAGACGGCCCAGACUCCUACGGGAGGCAGCAGUGGGGAAUCUUGCGCAAUGGCCGAAAGGCUGACGCAGCGACGCCGCGUGCGGGA
rnacentral:rRNA from 1 species